UCCAGCUUUUCCCUCUGCCCGCUGCAAUUGUCUUUCAGUGACUGUAGGUUAUAAAGGCUUUAAUUGUAUCUACAUUUCCUUCUGGAAGCUGGGUUACUGGUACAAUGCUUUGUUCUUGUGCAUCGCUAAGACGUUUGUACACCGAGGGACUCCUAUCUUGCAGGAUUGUCAUCUCUGGCUGGUCCUCGGAGUGGAGGGGACACAGUGUCUGGAAGAGGAAGGCAGCAUGGAGCUGAGAAGUGACUCUUGAUUCUGUCUCAAACCAGCUCCUCCAGCUAUCUUCCUGGUAUCAGCCCCCCCCACCCCGAACCCUGCCUUCUUGCCUCUGGCCAAAGCCUUGAGUCUUUGUCCCCAUCAAACAGUGUGCAAAGAUGGCAAAGAUGGCUCUCCCAUCUGCGCUCCCGCAGCCCAGCGACCCUGUUCUCGAGAACUGAUGAGGUGCAUCACUUAGGAACCACUAAGAAAGCCACAGCAAGGUUUCUAAUGAAAAGAAGGUGGCAGCCACAGCCCAGCACGGCUGCAUUUGUUUCAGGAGUCCACUGCCAAACGCGCCCCCAGGGAAAAUGGGCCCUGCUCCCCGCCCCCACCGCUGCCACGCUUUAGCGUUUAUACUAAAGUUUUGGUUUUACAAAUUUGGUUUGUAAAGACAUAGGUUUGCAUUCUA